rnacentral:lncRNA from 1 species
ACCUUGCUUUCCACCUUUUAAAAGUGUGCAUUUUGUACCAAACCCAAAUUCGCUGUUUUGUUUCAGCAAAAAGGCUGGACUCUAAGGAAAGAAUGCCCCUUCUGUGAAUUUUUAACACAUAAUGUCGAAAUGCCAAACACGAAAAUAAAAACACAUCUACACUCCAGACGUUGCCUAAAGGCUACAUAUGGGCCAGAUGUUCUGCCAAUGACAGAAGAUCCUGGGAAGAGUGGAGACAUGGCCACAAGCUCACACUGUUUUAUACUCCUCUGCCAGAGCUAACGUAGGGGCCGGAGCCCAGGGGGGGUUGGGCAGUAGAUCAAGCCAGCUACUAAAAUAGGGAAGCCUUUCGACAGCUUCCACUGGCACUGAAGCCUUCCAAAUGUCAAGAGUUUGACCUUGGCCUUCCAGCUCUAAUGGAGUGAAAGGGAAAUCAUUUUGCAUACUCACCGGCAGGCACUACCGACUGAACAUAACUGCAGCAAAGGAAAUGCUGGAAAUGCUGAGCCUGCAUGCUCCUUCAGUCCAGUCGAAUCAUUGCCCCUCAUAAAGUAAUGACAAAUACAAAGACAGGGCUAGGAUGCUCAGGCGGCACGUCCCACCGUGCCUCUUCCCAUCCCUGCAGACCGACUGUGCUCCCAUCACACGGGCAGCACUCUUGCGUGGAAGAGAAGUGCUGACUCACACCGGAUCUCCCCUGAUCCAUGCGGUUUUGAAUUAAAUGCUGGUCCACCUUGAUGCUCAACACAAAUAUUUUUAAAGGAGUACAAAAGAUGUGGUGCUGGAGGAGACUCUUGAGAGUUCCCUGGACAGCAAAAGGAAGAAACCUAUCCAUUUUGAAGGAAAUCAACCCUGAAUGCUCACUGGAAGGAGAGAUCCUAAAGCGGAGGCUCCAAUACUUUGACCAUCUCAUGCGGAGUGAAGACUCCCUAGAAAAGAUGCUGAUGUUGGGAAAAUGUGAAGGCAGGAGGAGAAGGGAAUAGAUGGAUAGACAAUGUCAUUGAAGCGACCAUCAUGACUUUGACCCAACUCCAGGAGGCAGUGGAAGACAGGAGGGCCUGGUGUGCUCUGGUCCAUGGGGCCAUGAAGAGUUGGACACGACUUAACGACUAAACAACAACAACAAACGAUGUGAGAGAUGUAUAUAGUAAAAUGCACACAAAAAUAAAACCUGCAAUGCAAAGGGGAACA